UCCCAUAUGCUCUAGUGGUUAGGAUUUGGCGUUUUCACCGCCAAGGCCCGGGUUCAAUUCCCGGUGUGGUAA
rnacentral:tRNA from 1 species